AAUCCAUAGAACUAUAUUUACAGGCGGCGUAAAAAGAAGGACAAUAAACAAAUAUAACAGUUUGGACAUUGACUUUAAACUUGUUCGGACAGGGACAGUGGUUAUUUUGAACACGUUAAAGACUUGUAAUAUUGCCAAGGAUUGUACAACUUGUUUAACUCAGGACGACUCGUUUGGUUGUAAAUGGUGCCCUAUGGUUGGGAGAUGUUCCGAUGGCUUUGAUUGGCUAAGACAAGAAUGGCGGGAGCAAGAAUGUGACAGAAAAGCAUUUGAUGAUUCAACCAAGUGCAAUUCUUCAAAACAAUGUUUAUUACACAAGACAUAUCUAUUAGCUGCACAAUUCUUUUAUCUAUUUUUCCACGGAGGAAGGUUUUUUUAGUGCACCGAGUUACAUGUAU